UCAGGUGCUGCCGUCCUGCAGGGGAGGUUUGGCUGUGAGAUCGAGCUAAACCCUGACUCUGGUGCAAGACUUAGGAGGACCUUUGCUCAGUAUGGAUGGAACGGAGAAGACUUCCUGUCCUUGAACCUCAGCAGGCUUCAGUGGGAGGCUUCAGCAGGAUCUGCUGUCCCCAUUACAAGGAAGUGGAACAGGGACCGGAACAUCACUGUGGAAACUAAGGACUACAUAGAUUUCAUCAGUGUAUAUCACCUGGAGAGAAGUUUUUCUUUUGAAGCAAAGGAGAGCCAGGAGACAGCUCAGCCCACAGCUGCAGUAUUCGCUAAGAGAUCCCUGAACCCUGGGAAGGUUAUUCUGACCUGCCUAGUUUCAGGAUUUCACUGCAGUAACACAACGGUUGAGGUUUAUCGGGAUGAUGACAUCAUCACUGAAGAAGAUGGCCUUUUGUCCUCUGGGAUCAGACCAAACGGGGAUGGGACCUGCCAGCUGAGAAAGAGUUUGGACAUCUCUAACAGCAUUGAGGCAUCGUAUAGCUGUGAAGUCCUGUUCGGAAGUCUUAAACGACUGGUCAAAUGGGAUGGGAAAAUAUGGGACCGGGCUGAAC